rnacentral:rRNA from 1 species
GACGAACGCUGGCGGCGUGCCUAACACAUGCAAGUCGAGCGGGGUUGAGGCGAGAGGUAACUCGAACUUCUACCUAGCGGCGGACGGGUGAGUAACGCGUGGGCAACCUGCCUCAAGGUUUGGGAUAACAGCCCGAAAGGGCUGCUAAUACCGGAUAUGCCUAUGGCCUCGCAUGGGGCUAUGAGCAAAGGGGAAACCCGCCUUGAGAUGGGCCCGCGUCCCAUCAGCUAGUUGGUGAGGUAACAGCUCACCAAGGCGACGACGGGUAGCCGGCCUGAGAGGGUGACCGGCCACACUGGGACUGAGACACGGCCCAGACUCCUACGGGGGGCAGCAGUGGGGGAUCUUGCACAAUGGGCGAAAGCCUGACUGCAGCGACGCCGCGUGAGCGAAGAAGGCCUUCGGGUUGUAAAGCUCUGUCUGGAGGGACGAACAAAAUGACGGUACCUCCGGGAGGAAGCCACGGCUAACUACGUGCCAGCGAGCCGACGGUAAAACUCAACGUGUACGUACG